CAAUUCCUCACAUGCCUGUGAUGAGAUGACUGGCAGCAGCUGUCCAAGUGGGAAAGGGCUGUAUCGGAGUCUGCUUCCCUCAGAGCUGCCAGGUUUCACCUGCUUCCUGGGAUGCAGGAGGGUCCCACAGCUCUGGGUGUGCAGGGUGGAUUGGCAGCUGGAUGGGUCAGGAAACCUGCCAGUGGAAGGAGACUGGUCAAUCUCCCAUUCACUUUUCUCCUGCAUUUGGAUGGCAUAUGGGGUUUGGAGAUUUUGGGGAACAGGCAGAAGAAGAAAGAGGUGGGAGAGGUUACACCAUCGUUUUCUACAAAUAAGGCAUUUCCAUGGACAAGUGUUGCCUCCUUGUGAAAGUGUGCUCUCAGCCUUGCUCUUCAAAGUUCAGAUCAAGUGAUGCUGCCAAGAUGUAUCCUUCUGUGGC
rnacentral:lncRNA from 12 species